GCCGAAGACAGAUCCACUUACGCAGGGAGCACUGGAGUCUUUUUGUUUCUCUGCUGCUUAUAUUUUGGAAGCUCCAGCAGGAAUGUGGCCUGAAUUUAAACACAGGGAGGCGUAGCCGCUAACAGGAAGCAUCCAGCAGUUCCUGUUAGUGUGUUCUUCCUGACAGACAAGAAGACAUCCAGUGAACUUCAUCCCACAGUGCAUGCCAGCCAACAGCUCUUUCUUGGAGCAGCUGCCAAAUAAAGAGAAACUUGGAACAGAGGCCAAACGAAGGCACCAGAAUCCCUGGAACUUGAGUUACAGAUGAUUGUGAGCAACUGUGUGGGUGCUGGGAAUCAAACCCAGGUCCUCUGGAAGAGAAGCCAGUGCCCUUAACCAGUGAGUCAUCUCUCC